GGUCCAGUAGUUCAGUUGGAUAGAACAUCAGAUUCCGGUUCUGAAGGUCGGGGGUUCGAAUCCUCCCUGGAUCA
rnacentral:tRNA from 1 species